AGAAAACAGCUUCUGAGCUGAGGACAGCUUGCUCUGCUUUUCUUUAGCUUAGGUGCUAACCAUGGU
ensembl:miRNA